rnacentral:rRNA from 1 species
AAAAUCCGUUGUAUGAUCCGAAGACGUGAUGUGGAGCGAAAUAAAGUAGUGAAGCGUGUGAGCCAUGUGCCGAGAAAAGCUGCUAUUGUGUAAUGCGUGCCCGUACCGUAAACCGACACAGGUGGAUGAGGAGAGGAUCCUAAGGCCGACGGAAGAAGCAUUGUUAAGGAAUUCGGCAAAAUGACCCCGUAACUUCGGGAGAAGGGGUGCCUGCGAGAGCAGGCCGCAGAGAAUAGGCUCAAGCAACUGUUUAGCAAAAACACAGGUCUAUGCGAAACCGAAAGGUGAAGUAUAUGGGCUGACGCCUGCCCGGUGCUGGAAGGUUAAGAGGAGAGGUUAGCGAAAGCGAAGCUUUGAAUUUAAGCCCCAGUAAACGGCGGCCGUAACUAUAACGGUCCUAAGGUAGCGAAAUUCCUUGUCGGGUAAGUUCCGACCCGCACGAAAGGCGUAAUGAUUUGAGCACUGUCUCGACAAUGCAUCCGGUGAAAUUGAAGUACCAGUGAAGAUGCUGGUUACCCGCGCCAGGACGGAAAGACCCCAUGGAGCUUUACUCCAGUUUGAUACUGGGAUUCGGUACUGCAUGUACAGGAUAGGUGGGAGACGAAGAAGGAUGGACGCCAGUCUGUCCGGAGUCGCUGUUGGGAUACCACCCCUGUAGUACUGGGUUUCUAACCAGUUACCAUGAUCUGGUAAUGGGACAAUGUCAGGCGGGGAGUUUGACUGGGGCGGUCGCCUCCGAAAGGGUAUCGGAGGCGCUCAAAGGUUCCCUCAGAAUGGUUGGAAACCAUUUGAAGAGUGCAAAGGCAGAAGGGAGCUUGACUGCGACACCGACGGGUGGAGCAGGUACGAAAGUAGGACUUAGUGAUCCGGUGGUAUAAAGUGGGAUUGCCAUCGCUCAACGGAUAAAAGCUACCCUGGGAUAACAGGCUUAUCACUCCCAAGAGUUCACAUCGACGGAGUGGUUUGGCACCUCGAUGUCGGCUCAUCGCAUCCUGGGGCUGUAGCAGGUCCCAAGGGUUGGGCUGUUCGCCCAUUAAAGCAGUACGCGAGCUGGGUUCAGAACGUCGUGAGACAGUUCGGUCCCUAUCCGGCGCGGGCGGAGGAUAUUUGAGAGGAGCUGUCCUUAGUACGAGAGGACCGGGAUGGACGGACCACUGGUGUAUCUGUUGUCGACCAACGGCAUGGCAGAGUAGCCAAGUCUGGAAGGGAUAAACGCUGAAGGCAUCUAAGCGUGAAGCCCCCCUCAAGAUGAGAUAUCCCUCCUAUAAGGAGUAAGACCCCUUGAAGACUACAAGGUAGAUAGGGCAGAGGUGGAAGCAUGGCAACAUGUGGAGCUGACUGUUACUAAUAGGUCGAGGGCUUAAUU